rnacentral:rRNA from 1 species
AGGACGAACGCUGGCGGCGUGCUUAACACAUGCAAGUCGAGCGGAAAGGCCCUUCGGGGUACUCGAGCGGCGAACGGGUGAGUAACACGUGAGCAACCUGCCCUUAGCUUUGGGAUAACCCUCGGAAACGGGGGCUAAUACCGAAUGUUCACUGUCGGACGCAUGUUUGACGGUGGAAAGUUUUUUCGGCUAGGGAUGGGCUCGCGGCCUAUCAGCUUGUUGGUGGGGUAAUGGCCUACCAAGGCGACGACGGGUAGCCGGCCUGAGAGGGCGACGGGCCACGACUGGGACUGGAGACACGGCCCAGACUCCUACGGGAGGCAGCAGUGGGGAAUAUUGCACAAUGGGCGAAAGCCUGAUGCAGCGACGCCGCGUGAGGGAUGACGGCCUUCGGGUUGUAAACCUCUUUCAGCUCCGACGAAGCGCAAGUGACGGUAGGAGCAGAAGAAGCGCCGGCCAACUACGUGCCAGCAGCCGC